rnacentral:rRNA from 1 species
UACGAAGGGGGCUAGCGUUGCUCGGAAUCACUGGGCGUAAAGCGCACGUAGGCGGCUUUUUAAGUCAGGGGUGAAAUCCUGGAGCUCAACUCCAGAACUGCCUUUGAUACUGGGAAGCUCGAGUCCGGGAGAGGUGAGUGGAACUCCGAGUGUAGAGGUGAAAUUCGUAGAUAUUCGGAAGAACACCAGUGGCGAAGGCGGCUCACUGGCCCGGUACUGACGCUGAGGCGCGACAGCGUGGGGAGCAAACAGG